rnacentral:RNase_P_RNA from 1 species
GUGGAUUGAGUGAUCGCUUGCAUAGCAAGAGGAAAGUCCGAACUCCACAGGGAAGGAUACUGGAUAACAUCCAGAUGCUGUGAGGCAAUGGAAAGUGCCACAGAAAAUAACCGCCAUUAAUAAACAUAUGAUAUUGAUGGUAAGGGUGAAAAGGUAGUGUAAGAGACUACCGCUUUUUUUGGUGACAAAAAAUGGCAAGGUAAACCCUAUCUGGAGCAAGGCCAAAUAAAGAAGUUGUUAUCCCUGACAUUUACUUCUGGGUAGGUCGCUUGAAUCUAAAAGUAAUUUUAGAUCUAGAUAAAUGAUCACAUAGAACAGAAUUCGGCUUAUUAAUCCACUCG